rnacentral:rRNA from 1 species
AUUGAACGCUGGCGGCAGGCCUAACACAUGCAAGUCGAGCGGAUGAAGGGAGCUUGCUCCUGGAUUCAGCGGCGGACGGGUGAGUAAUGCCUAGGAAUCUGCCUGGUAGUGGGGGAUAACGUCCGGAAACGGGCGCUAAUACCGCAUACGUCCUGAGGGAGAGAGUGGGGGAUCUUCGGACCUCACGCUAUCAGAUGAGCCUAGGUCGGAUUAGCUAGUUGGUGGGGUAAAGGCCUACCAAGGCGACGAUCCGUAACUGGUCUGAGAGGAUGAUCAGUCACACUGGAACUGAGACACGGUCCAGACUCCUACGGGAGGCAGCAGUGGGGAAUAUUGGACAAUGGACGAAAGCCUGAUCCAGCCAUGCCGCGUGUGUGAAGAAGGUCUUCGGAUUGUAAAGCACUUUAAGUUGGGAGGAAGGGCAGUAAGUUAAUACCUUGCUGUUUCGACGUUACCAACAGAAUAAGCACCGGCUAACUUCGUG